AAUGUGGUGUCUGAUUAUAGAGUUAUCUUGAUAGGGUAAAAAAUGUGGCCAACCCACCCUCAUUA
rnacentral:tRNA from 1 species